AAAUCCUCCCUCUAGUUCCUGCCCCCCGCACAGCUCCAGCUCGUUCCCUGGUUACUGCCCCUCUGCUCCAUCCCUGGCAUCUCUCUGGUCUGGUCGGUGCCAACUGUUUCUCUUGGUAUAUGCUAUCAGCUGGGAUCUGGUCAAGAGAAUAGUUAUGCUAGCCACAACUAAUGAUUAAUUCCUGGCAUCAUGUAACAAGCUGUGGAAGAAACUGAAAAUCCAGUCAUAAAAAAAGGACUCCAAAGGGCAGGAAUGUCACAUCAAAAUUUCCUAAGCAUAAGUAACUGCCCUCUCCCCAGCCAAAAACUUCUUAGUUCUGUGGGAAGAAGAGAUGAAAGAAAGAUGGCCUUUUUACAAGAUCAGAAAAUUCCCAAGCUAGAACAUACAGUGUCAGGGCAAUCAGAGUCUGAAGUGCCAAUCAUUUUUAUUUUUUUAAGCACUUUCUUGGAUGUUUUAUGAUUUGAAUGAUUCUGUUGUGAGUGUAAAAUAAUUGGCUUUUCCAUUUAAAAAAGCAAUAAUGUGUUUCUGGUAAAAAUGCUAGAUUAAAAAUAUUCUCUUGUUAUAUGCCAAUAUUUUUUUCAUUUUUAUGUUUGCUAAUGUCUCGAGGCAGAUAGAAACAUCAGAUAAGCUAGAAGUGAAUUUCAAUAUAAAAAUUAUUCGUUGUACGUGAGUCAACAAUAUUCCCCAUAGAAAGCUCUGCCGAGUGCUAUCAAUCUAAAAAAUAUUGCUCUAUCAAGCCAUCAUCCAGGGAGAGUUAUAAAAUAAAAUCAUUCUUGAUUUCUUUA